rnacentral:rRNA from 1 species
GAAUGGGAUAAGCUGCAAGUCGGACGAUCCCGGGGGGCCAACUCCCCGGGGGAAGUGGCGAAAGGGGCAGUAAAGCGUAGGGUAACCUGCCCCGGGGACCGGGAUAGCCGCCCUAACGGGCGGGUAAUACCGGGCGACGUGUCCGGGGGGCAUCCCCCGGGCACCAAAAGACUUAACCCUUGCCCCGGGAGGGGCCCACGUGGUAUUAGCUAGACGGCGGGGUAACGGCCCACCGUGGCCAAGAUGCCUAGCGGGUGUGCGAGCACGACCCGCGCCACUGGCACUGCGACACUGGCCAGACUCCUACGGGAGGCUGCAGUCGAGGAUCUUCGGCAAUGGGCGCAAGCCUGACCGAGCGACGCCGCGUGUGCGACGAAGGCCUUCGGGUUGUAAAGCACUGUCGAGGGGGAGGAAAGCCCGCAAGGGCCUGACCUAUCCCUGGAAGAAGCACGGGCUAAGUUCGUGCCAGCAGCCGCGGUAAGACGAACCGUGCGAACGUUGUUCGGAUUCACUGGGCUUAAAGGGCGCGUAGGCGGGCAGGCGAGUCCGGAGUGAAAGCCCACGGCCCAACCGUGGAAGUGCCCCGGAUACCGGCUGCCUCGAGGGGGGUAAGGGCGCGCGGAACUUCCGGUGGAGCGGUGAAAUGCGUAGAUUUCGGAAAGAACGCCGGUGGCGAAUGCGGCGCGCUGGACCCCUUCUGACUCUGAAGCGCGAAAGCCUGGGGAGCAUACGGGAUUAUAUACCCCGGUUAUCCUUGGCCCUAAACAUGAGUACUAGGUAGAGGAACUGAAAUGGGGUCCCCGGCACAAACAAAAGUGGUAUUUACCCCCCCUGGGGAAUAUGGUCGUAAGGCAAAAACUCAUAGAAUUGACGAGGGGCCCAUCACACGGUUGAACCUUGUGCAUUUUU